rnacentral:rRNA from 1 species
AUUGAACGCUGGCGGCAUGCCUUACACAUGCAAGUCGAACGGUAACAGGUUAAGCUGCCGAGUGGCGCACGGGUGAGUAAUGUAUCGGAACGUUCCCAGUCGUGGGGGAUAACUGCUCGAAAGAGCAGCUAAUACCGCAUACGACCUGAGAGUGAAAGCGGGGGCUCGCAAGGCCUCGCGCGAUUGGAGCGGCCGCUAUCAGAUUAGCUAGUUGGUGGGGUAAAGGCUCACCAAGUCGACGACCUGUAGCUGGUCUGAGGGGACGACAAGCCACACUGGGACGGAGCCACGGCCCAGACUCCUGCGGGAGGCAGCAGUGGGGAAUGUGGGACAAUGGGGGCAAGCCUUAUCCAGCGAGGCCGCGUGCGGGAAGAAGGCCUUCGGGUUGUAAACCGCUUUUGUCAGGGAAGAAAAGGUUCUGGCUAAGACCAGGGACUCAUGACGGUACCUGAAGAAUAAGCACCGGCUAACUACGUG